rnacentral:rRNA from 1 species
AAGUCAGACGCAGCGACGCCGCGUGGGUGAUGAAGGCCUUCGGGUUGUAAAGCCCUUUUCUGGGGGAAGAGGCAGGACGGUACCUCAGGAAUAAGUGUCGGCUAACUACGUGCCAGCAGCCGCGGUAAUA